CAAUAGCGUAUAUUAAAGUUGUUGCGGUUAAAAAGCUCGUAGUUGGAUUUCUGCCGAGGACGACCGGUCCGCCCUCUGGGUGAGUAUCUGGCUCGGCCUGGGCAUCUUCUUGGAGAACGUAGCUGCACUUGACUGUGUGGUGCGGUAUCCAGGACUUUUACUUUGAGGAAAUUAGAGUGUUUCAAGCAGGCUUACGCCUUGAAUACAUUAGCAUGGAAUAAUAAGAUAGGACCUCGGUUCUAUUUUGUUGGUUUCUAGAGCUGAGGUAAUGAUUAAUAGGGAUAGUUGGGGGCAUUCGUAUUUAACUGUCAGAGGUGAAAUUCUUGGAUUUGUUAAAGACGGAUUACUGCGAAAGCAUUUGCCAAGGAUGUUUUCAUUGA
rnacentral:rRNA from 1 species